UCAUUGCCUGCUGACGUCAG
rnacentral:misc_RNA from 1 species